rnacentral:rRNA from 1 species
GACGAACGCUGGCGGCGUGCUUAACACAUGCAAGUCGAACGGAAAGGCCCUGCAUUUGUGGGGUGCUCGAGUAGCGAACGGGUGAGUAACACGUGAGUAGCCUGCCCUUGGCUUUGGGAUAACUUCAGGAAACUGGGGCUAAUACCGGAUAGGUGCUCCUGCUGCAUUGUGGGGGUUGGGAAGUUUCGGCGGUUGGGGAUGGACUCGCGGCUUAUCAGCUUGUUGGUGGGGUAGUGGCUUACCAAGGCUUUGACGGGUAGCCGGCCUGGGAGGGUGACCGGCCCAAUCGGGACUGAGCUACGGCCCAGCCUCCUACGGGAGGCAGCAGUGCGGAAUAUUGCACAAUGGGCGGAAGCCUGAUGCAGCAACGCCGCGUGCGGGAUGACGGCCUUCGGGUUGUAAACCGCUUUCGCCUGUGCCGAAGAGUGAGUGACGGUAAUGGGUAAAGAAGCACCGGCUAACUACGUG